rnacentral:rRNA from 1 species
CCUACGGGUGGCAGCAGUGGGGGAUAUUGCACAAUGGGGGAAACCCUGAUGCAGCGACGCCGCGUGUGGGAAGACGGUCCUCUGGAUUGUAAACUACUGUCACCAGGGACGAAAAUGACGGUACCUGGGGAGGAAGCUCCGGCUAACUACGUGACAGCAGACGCGGUAAUACGUAGGGAGCGAGAGUUGUCCGGAUUUACUGGGUGUAAAGGGAGCGUAGGCGGGGAUGCAAGUUGAGUGUCAAAACUACCGGCUCAACUGGUAGUCGCACUCAAAACUACAGCUCGUGAGUGAAGUAGAGGCAGGCGGAAUUCCUAGUGUAGCGGUGAAAUGCGUAGAUAUUAGGAAGAACACCAGUGGCGAAGGCGGCCUGCUGGGCUUUUACUGACGCUGAGGCUCGAAAGUGUGGGGAGCAAACAGGAUUAGAUACCCCUGUAGUC